GGGAGAAGUGGCUGAGUGGUUUAAAGCGGCAGAUUGCUAAUUUGUUGUAUAAUAAAAUAUUAUACCGAGGGUUCGAAUCCCUUCUUCUCCUA
rnacentral:tRNA from 1 species